CUCCGUUGGUGAACCAGCGGAGGGAUCAUUACCGAGUUUACAACUCCCAAACCCCUGUGAACAUACCUUAUGUUGCCUCGGCGGAUCAGCCCGCGCCCCGUAAAAAGGGACGGCCCGCCGCAGGAACCCUAAACUCUGUUUUUAGUGGAACUUCUGAGUAUAAAAAACAAAUAAAUCAAAACUUUCAACAACGGAUCUCUUGGUUCUGGCAUCGAUGAAGAACGCAGCAAAAUGCGAUAAGUAAUGUGAAUUGCAGAAUUCAGUGAAUCAUCGAAUCUUUGAACGCACAUUGCGCCCGCCAGUAUUCUGGCGGGCAUGCCUGUUCGAGCGUCAUUUCAACCCUCAAGCCCAGCUUGGUGUUGGGAGCUGCAGUCCUGCUGCACUCCCCAAAUACAUUGGCGGUCACGUCGAGCUUCCAUAGCGUAGUAAUUUACACAUCGUUACUGGUAAUCGUCGCGGCCACGCCGUUAAACCCCAACUUCUGAAUGUUGACCUCGGAUCAGGUAGGAAUACCCGCUGAACUUAAGCAUAU
rnacentral:rRNA from 1 species